GUGUCACGUCAGCAGCACAUAUGCUAAAAUUGGAAUGAUAAAGAGACAGCACAGCCCCUGUGCAAGGAUGACAGUAAAUUUGUAAAGCGUUGCAUACUAUU
rnacentral:snRNA from 1 species